rnacentral:rRNA from 1 species
GGCUACGGCCACACCACCCUGAACGUGCCCGAUCCAGCCUGAUCUCGGAAGCUAAGCAGGGUCGAGCCUGGUUAGUACGUGGAUGGGAGACCACCUAGGAAGACCAGGCGCUAUAGGCG